rnacentral:rRNA from 1 species
UACGUAGGCAGCGAGCGUUGUUCGGAAUUACUGGGCGUAAAGAGUGUGUAGGCGGUGCUCCCAGUCUGUUGUGAAAUCUCCCGGCUUAACUGGGAGGGUGCGCCGAAAACUGGAGUGCUCGAGCGUGGGAGAGGAAAGCGGAAUUCCUGGUGUAGCGGUGAAAUGCGUAGAUAUCAGGAGGAACACCAGCGGUGAAGGCGGCUUUCUGGACCGUUGCUGACGCUGAGGCGCGAAAGCGUGGGGAGCAAACAGG